rnacentral:lncRNA from 1 species
AUGGGCUCUGGCUGCUCUUUGGGGCCAGACCGCGGGGGGACGAUGACAGGUGGGGUCUGCCAGGGCUGCUCCCUUCUGCCCCCCCUUCCUCUUGCCGUCUCUUUCUCCACCCACCCACCGACCCACCCCACAAGGCUGAUACUGCCUGGCCUCAUGUUGUGUGCACGCCCCACCAGGAGCCAGGGGGAAGUCUUAGCAGGAGUCAGGGCCCAAGAGAAGCUGAGCCGAUGGACGGACUGCCCCGAAGAAGCCUUGCAGGAGCUAGCCGGUAGGCAAGAGAGGGGAAUGGAGGAGGAGGAGGAGGGAGCCUGCCCCGCCCUCCAGCAACCCCGACUGGGCACUGAAGAAGCGGGAGGACCCAUGUCUGCCUGCGCUUCCACCCUCUACAGGGACCCUCCUCUAUGGAGGCCACGUCCUGGACAGUGGAGAUGCUCAGGCCGUGCAGAGCCUUUGCCGGCAAUGUCUGGCCUCGGCCGCCCACUUGCAGCCUGGCUCCGGCCUCCAAAGCCUUCUGGCUGCAGUCCUUGGCCGUCCCAGCUCAGGGCUCUCGGAAGAGGAGGCCGCGGCGGCCACCCAGGGCCGGAUCGAGCAGCUGCCCCGCCCUAUAGAUCCAGCGUGGGUGGGUCUGUGCAGCGGUCUGCAGCAGGAGCUGAUGGCCGAACGGAGCCGGGCUCUGCUUUCGGCCCUGCAGGUGUCCCAAGGCCACUGGAAACCCCCGAGCCUCCCCUGCCAGCACCAGCAGGAGGAAGCCCUGGCGCAGCUGGUGCGGCAAGCGCUGGGGCUCACCCGAGAGCUGCAGGAGAACCUUGUCCGCUGCGGCCAGGAGGUGGGCGUGCGGGGCCAGGCCCUCCGUGGGCAUCCCCGGGGCAAGGUCCGCCCCCUGCAGCGAUUCCUCCUGGAGGAGGCGGGCAGCUUCCUUGCCUUGCUGGAGCAAGUGGGCAGGGAUCUCUGCUGCACCCAGGAGCGCCUUCAAGGGGGGGGCGGCUGCUCCUCCCCCCGCUGCCACGCCAUCCUUCAGGACCUGCAGCGAGGCCAAAUGCCACGACCUUGGCUGCCCUAUGCGCCCACGGGGGCCCAGCCUCUGCCCGCCUGGCUCCAGACCCUUCAGCGCCGCUGCCAGCUUCUGUGCGCAUACCUGGGCUCCCUCGGGGGACAGCAGCCAGUGGCCCACUUCCAGCUGGCUGCCUUCCUCCACCCCCGUCGCCUCUUCCUCGCGCUGCUUCAAGAGACGGCACGGGCCGAGAAGCAAGACGUGGACACCUACCACCUGGAUCAGCUGGUGAGAGGGAAAAGGCCCAGACCCUUCAGCGCCGCUGCCAGCUUCUGUGCGCAUACCUGGGCUCCCUCGGGGGACAGCAGCCAGUGGCCCACUUCCAGCUGGCUGCCUUCCUCCACCCCCGUCGCCUCUUCCUCGCGCUGCUUCAAGAGACGGCACGGGCCGAGAAGCAAGACGUGGACACCUACCACCUGGAUCAGCUGGUGAGAGGGAAAAGGCAAGGCAAUAAAGUGUUCCACAUCUUCUCUGAAUAG